rnacentral:rRNA from 1 species
UCUUUAGACCUUCCUGGAGGGGCUUGCCAUCAAAUCGAUAACCCACGAAAUACCUCACCAGUCCUUGAAAUGCCAACUUGUAUACCAUCGUCGUCAGUCUACCUCUCAAGAGAAGUAUACUCAAAGAAUCAAUCAUAAUAUUCUCAACGUCAGAUCAAGGUGCAGUAAAUGGACUGGGGAUAGGUGAGCCACAAUAAUUUAUCAGUUCUCAACAAAAACUAAUUUUGGAUCACAACAUGAAAACAAAAGUUUGAAACAGGAUUCAGCAGUAAUUCCUAAAAGAAACUAGGUAUGAAGCCAGCUCUAAAGUGCGC